GUCAUAACCAGUGACUAUCCUGGUCACCUGUCACGCAUCCUUGCUUUCUUCUGCCCUGCAGGCUAAGUUCUUUGGUUGACUGCCCAUCUAUCCCCAGGAACACAGUGUUCUGUUCACCUUAGCCAGGCCUUUGGCCCCACGCCAACCUGCUUCUCAAACAACCAGCCGCAUUCCAGCCACUGACAGCCAAAAGUAGCUGCCUGCACCACUGUCCACGUCAUUGUCACAGCUCUAAUGUGACAGCUUCCGUCAGAACUCCACUGUAGCCCCUCCUGGUAUUCCCUAGGGUAUGGCUACAUAGUAUGUCCUCCAGCCCCCUGAAGGAGCAAGAUACCUGCUUCUCGUCCUGUGCCUGCCUUCAUCUCCUCCCAAACCUCCCCUCCCACAGGCCUUCCUUGUUGUCUGUCUCCUUUACUAUGUUAACACACACCUUUUAUUGUGUCUCCUGUGUUCUUACAGCCUCCUAACUGUGUCCAUACCAUGUUCUUCAGCCCAUGUCCUCAACAAGGACUCCGUGACCAUGACGCUCCUUUCACCUACCAAGGCAGCUUCUGCCAGGAGCACACAGACCCAGCUAUACCACUCCUGGACAUACACCCAAAAGAUGCUCCACUAUACCACAAGGACACUUGCUCAACUAUAUAUCAGUUUUAUUGGUAAUAGCCAGAAACUGGAAGCAACCUAGAUGUCCCUCAACGGAAGAACAGAUAAAGAAAAGAUAGUACAUCUACACAGCGGAAUACUAUUCAGCUACUAAAAACAAAGACAUCAUGAAAUCUGCAGGUAAAUGGAUGGAACUCAUAAUUAUCAUCCUGAGUGAGGUAACCCAGAGCCAGAAAGACCCGUAUGGCGUGUGCUCACUUAUAACUGGAGAUCAGCCAUAAAGUGCAGGGUAACCAUGCUACAAGCAAAGGCCCAAAGGAACUGGGUAAUAAGGAAGGCGCAAGAGAGGAUGUGUGAAUCUCACUCAGAAAGGAAAAUGAAAUAGUCAUAGGAGGUGGAUGGAGAGAGAAGGUGGGAGAGGGCGUGAGGAAGGGGAUAAGGAUCAGGUGUGAGGGAGGGGCCGGGGAGGUCUGGGAGUGAGAAUGGAAAUUGGUGAAGGGUGUCUCUGGGACUCACCUAUGGAGACCUGGGACUGGGGAGACUCUAGAGAGUUUAUGGGGGUGACCAAGCUGAGAUUCCUGCCUUGUGUGUGGGGGUGGAUAUAGAGGCUAAAGUGGCCACCUCCUGUAGCCAGGCAGGACUUCCAGUGAAGGAGGGAGACAUCAACCCACUGUCAACCCCAAAUUUGUCCUACCUACAAGAUGUGCAGGGGCAAAGUUGGAGCAGAGACUGAAGGAACGGCCAACCGAUGAUUGGCCCACCUUUAGAUCCACCCAUGGGAGAGAGCCAACCCCUGAC
rnacentral:lncRNA from 1 species